UGGAGGUGCAGCUGCGGGCCC
rnacentral:misc_RNA from 1 species